rnacentral:rRNA from 1 species
CCUACGGGAGGCAGCAGUGGGGAAUAUUGCACAAUGGGCGAAAGCCUGAUGCAGCGACGCCGCGUGGGGGAUGAAGGCCUUCGGGUUGUAAACCCCUUUCAGCAGGGAAGAAGCGAAAGUGACGGUACCUGCAGAAGAAGCGCCGGCAAACUACGUGCCAGCAGCCGCGGUAAUACGUAGGGCGCAAGCGUUGUCCGGAAUUAUUGGGCGUAAAGAGCUCGUAGGUGGUUUGUCGCGUCUGCUGUGAAAACCCGAGGCUCAACCUCGGGCCUGCAGUGGGUACGGGCAGACUAGAGUGCGGUAGGGGAGACUGGAAUUCCUGGUGUAGCGGUGGAAUGCGCAGAUAUCAGGAGGAACACCGAUGGCGAAGGCAGGUCUCUGGGCCGCAACUGACACUGAGGAGCGAAAGCAUGGGGAGCGAACAGGAUUAGAUACCCUGGUAGUCCAUGCCGUAAACGUUGGGCACUAGGUGUGGGGCUCAUUCCACGAGUUCCGUGCCGCAGCUAACGCAUUAAGUGGCCCGCCUGGGGAGUACGGCCGCAAGGCUAAAACUCAAAGGAAUUGACGGGGGCCCGCACAAGCGGCGGAGCAUGCGGAUUAAUUCGAUGCAACGCGAAGAACCUUACCAAGGCUUGACAUAUACCGAAAACUCAUGGAGACAUGGGGUCCGCAAGGGCGGUAUACAGGUGGUGCAUGGUUGUCGUCAGCUCGUGUCGUGAGAUGUUGGGUUAAGUCCCGCAACGAGCGCAACCCUCGUCCUAUGUUGCCAGCACGUCAUGGUGGGGACUCAUAGGAGACUGCCGGGGUCAACUCGGAGGAACGGGGGGGAUGACGUCAAAUCAUCAUGCCCCUUAUGUCUUGGGCUUCACGCAUGCUACAAUGGCCGGUACAAAGGGCUGCGAUACCGCGAGGUGGAGCGAAUCCCAAAAGCCGGUCUCAGUUCGGAUUGGGGUCUGCACUCGACCCCAUGAAGUCGGAGUCGCUAGUAAUCGCAGAUCAGCAACGCCGCGGUGAAUACGUUUCCCGG